GUUUAAUAAUUAAACUGUAAUUUUUACUAAUUUCCUGAAAUUAAAAAUUUCCUUUGGCAUGGAGUCGAACCAGGAUCUUUGGGUUACCCUCCUGAAGAUCCUGAUUUGAAUAAAAAACCAAAAAUAUCUAUAACUCUUUAUCUAGGCUAUGUUGUUGUUGUUUUCAUUUUGUAGUCUCAACUAGAUAGAGUGGAAAGUUUAACACAAUACUUUACAGUGCCAACAAUGGGACUUAUGCUAGUAUUUGAAUAACAAAGCUUUCACAAAGUAAUUUUCUAAAAAACUUCUUGAGUGCCAAUAAUAAUUUUUGAAACAAAUUUUCCAAAAACUGACAUAUAUCCCUAUCAUCAUACUAGCAUGGUCAGAUGAUCCUCAAGAUUACAGAAGUAGCAUUUAAGUCUUUUUUUCAAAGAGUACUUAUACACUAUACUCCAUGGCUUUGUAAUCAAAGCCAAGAUGGAAGAAUGCAAUACUAUUUACAAACUUUUCAUAUCAAUGGCCAUUUGAAAUAUCAACAGUGGAUCAUCUUUGAAAGCCUCAAUUAUAUCAGAUUUAAUAUUAUUUUGACUUAUCUGAUAGAUAAUGCUAUUUAAAACAUGGUGAAUACAAAGGCAGAAUAUCCCUGAUUUAGUUACAAAAUGACUUUCUUUGUUGUCUUAUGAAUGUUGAUUACAUUUCCUAUUGGUGAGCAUGCUUAUCAUUUUGUGCAGUUCAGUCAUCUUGAUGUGCAACUGUAUAGUUUCUGACAAAACAAUAAGCUAUGAAUUCCACUUUUGUGAUCACAAAAUGUCUAUUGUUUGCCACUUCUUGCAGAAUAAACUUGCCAAAGCAAGUGUAUAAGUGUAUCAAAGUAUGUGGAAUUAGUCAGAUGAAUAUUUGCUUUAUUUGAGUGUAUCCAGCCCAGCAUCUAGAUCGGA
rnacentral:lncRNA from 1 species